UACGUAGGGUGCAAGCGUUAAUCGGAAUUACUGGGCGUAAAGCGGGCGAAGGCGGUUGUGCAAGACAGAUGUGAAAUCCCCGGGCUCAACCUGGGAACUGCAUUUGUGACUGCACGGCUGGAGUGCGGCAGAGGGGGAUGGAAUUCCGCGUGUAGCAGUGAAAUGCGUAGAUAUGCGGAGGAACACCGAUGGCGAAGGCAAUCCCCUGGGCCUGCACUGACGCUCAUGCACGAAAGCGUGGGGAGCAAACAGG
rnacentral:rRNA from 1 species